AACAUCGCGCACCUGCGGGAACCUGCGGAAGGAUCAUUACCGAGUUUACAACUCCCAAACCCCUGUGAACAUACCACUUGUUGCCUCGGCGGAUCAGCCCGCUCCCGGUAAAACGGGACGGCCCGCCAGAGGACCCCUAAACUCUGUUUCUAUAUGUAACUUCUGAGUAAAACCAUAAAUAAAUCAAAACUUUCAGCAAUGGAUCU
rnacentral:misc_RNA from 1 species